rnacentral:snRNA from 1 species
GUCCUCUGGUUCUUCUUCAUUUUGCAUAAAUCUUCCUUUUACUAAAGAUUUCUGUGGAGAGGACUAAUUUUGAGUCAUAAACCAAUUGUUUGAGGUUUGCUUUGACAGGGU